rnacentral:rRNA from 1 species
GCUGGUGUACCAGUUGUCUUGCCAAAGGCAUCGCUGGGUAGCUAUGUGCGGAAGGGAUAAGUGCUGAAAGCAUCUAAGCAUGAAGCCCCCCUCGAGAUGAGAUUUCCCAUCACUUUAUGUGAGUAAGAUCCCUGAAAGAUGAUCAGGUAGAUAGGUCUGAGGUGGAAGCGUGGCGACACGUGCAGCUGACAGAUACUAAUCGAUCGAGGACUUAACCAC